UUACGCCCGUAACUACUUCGCCGCCGGCAUAACAAUUUGGCAUGCGGUCCGAGUAUGGCGCUUGUUUAUUCCUAACUGACGAACCUUUUUUGUAAAAAUUUGAUGCCUAGCUCAAAGAUGUUGCCGCCAUCUCCACCAUCAUCACCAACGUCAUAGCAAUGUAUGCGCUUGUCAGGGGCGGGAACCGGGGAUAAACAUUCUCAUCCAGUCCAUCACCGGCAAAAUAACCAUCACGCUUGACAAUACACCUAUAUCAAACUUAUAUCGGAAAUAAUGUUGCCUGGAAGAAGGUCCUUGGCGGUGCUGGAAGAGUCUCGAGGAAAAGAGGAGUUUGAGAUGGCUUGCAUCAGUUCCAAAUAUAUAAAGAUCGAGAAUUCCUCUGCCCAUUUCAAAGUCAAUUUCAAAUAAACAAGUCCACAAGCGAAGAGAAUACAAUAAAAGAAUAACUCUCUAUAUAACUCUCCCUAUCUAUAUCUAUAUAUCUAUAUCUAUAUCUCUAUUCAAAACGAAUAACGCACAAUGAGUAUCACCUACAAUCCCGACAACGAUAUCCCCGACCUUUCAGGGAAAGUGAUAGUUAUCACCGGAGGUACUGCUGGUGUCGGCAAAGAAGCUAUCAAGCAACUGAUCAAGCACAAUCCCGCUCAUAUCUACUUCACUGGCCGCAACGUACAAGCUGCCAACUCUCUCAUUGACGAGAUAAAGGCCACCACCAACAAUGGAAACUGCAUUACCUUCGUCGCCUGCGACCAAACCUCCCUCCAUUCCGUGCGUGAUGCCGCACAAGUCCUCCUGGCCAA
rnacentral:sRNA from 1 species